rnacentral:rRNA from 1 species
GAGCUUGCUCCGGCUGACGAGUGGCGCACGGGUGCGUAACGCGUAUACAAUCUACCUUUUACAGGGGUAUAGCCUUUAGAAAUGAAGAAUAAUCCCCCAUAAUAUCUUAUUAGUGGCAUCAUUAAAAGAUUAAAGCUUCGGUGGUAAGAGAUGAGUAUGCGUUCUAUUAGCUAGUAGGUGAGGUAACGGCUCACCUAGGCGACGAUAGAUAGGGGCCCUGAGAGGGGGAUCCCCCUCACUGGUACUGAGACACGGAUCAGACUCCUACGGGAGGCAGCAGUGAGGAAUAUUGGACAAUGGGCGCAAGCCUGAUCCAGCUUUGCCGCGUGCAGGAAGACUGCCCUAUGGGUUGUAAACUGCUUUUAUAUAGGAAGAAACCAUUCUACGUGUAGAGUGCUGACGGUACUAUAAGAAUAAUCAUCGGCUAACU